rnacentral:rRNA from 1 species
CCUACGGGAGGCAGCAGUGAGGAAUAUUGGUCAAUGGCCGCAGGGCUGAACCAGCCAAGUCGCGUGAGGGAUGAAGGUCCUAUGGAUUGUAAACCUCUUUUGUCAGGGAGCAAAGGGCGCCACGUGUGGCGCCUUGCGCGUACCUGAAGAAAAAGCAUCGGCUAACGCCGUGCCAGCAGCCGCGGUAAUACGGGGGAUGCGGGCGUUAUCCAGAUUUAUUGGGUUUAAAGGGUGCGCAGGCGGAAUUUCAAGUCAGCGGUAAAAUUUCGGGGCUCAAACCCGUCGGGCCGUUGAAACUGGCGGUCUUGAGUGAGCGAGAAGUAGGCGGAAUGCGUGGUGUAGCGGUGAAAUGCAUAGAUAUCACGCAGAACUCCGAUUGCGAAGGCAGCAUACCGGCGCUCAACUGACGCUCAUGCACGAAAGCGUGGGUAUCGAACAGGAUUAGAUACCCGGGUAGUC